UUCUAUUUACUUUCUCAGUUUUCUUUUCCCCCCUUUCAGUCCAUUGAUCUAGCCAUCCACAACUCCGAUUUGGUCAUAUAACACACAUAUCCGACCACCCACAAAAAUCCCCAGCCCAGAUUCGACCACCGCGGCGAUCCCCCACCCAAAUCCGGCAACCUACCGCCAUUUUAGGCUAAAACCCGGUUCAUUAACCGGUUUCCGGGUCUACCGGUUUUUCCGGUUGAACCGGAUUUUUUGCUCAUUGACCCCAAUUUUUGAUUUUUUUGGUUUAUACAACCUAAAGACAAAUUAGUAAAAAAAAUAUUUUUU
rnacentral:lncRNA from 1 species